rnacentral:piRNA from 1 species
UGCGGAGUUGCUCUCUCCGGGCUCAGUGGA